rnacentral:rRNA from 1 species
UACGGGGGGGGCAAGCGUUGUUCGGAAUUACUGGGCGUAAAGGGCUCGUAGGUGGCCAACUAAGUCAGACGUGAAAUCCCUCGGCUUAACCGGGGAACUGCGUCUGAUACUGGAUGGCUUGAGUUCGGGAGAGGGAUGCGGAAUUCCUGGUGUAGCGGUGAAAUGCGCAGAUAUCAGGAAGAACACCUAUGGCGAAGGCAGCACUCUGGGACGGUACUGACGCUGAGACGCGAAAGCGUGGGGAGCGAACAGG